GUAUUAGUUCCCCAACCAGGGAUCAAACCCAAAUCCCCUGCAUUGGAAGCAUAGUCUUAACCGCUGGACCACUGAGGAAGUCCCUGUCUGUGCCAUUUUUGAUUUCUCAUAUUGGCGACCAUUGAAAUCUAGUGGUGGCAGUUGAGCUGAAGAAAGGAGGUGGGCUUGCCAUCGUUGAAGAAGACAGAGACUGGAGGUGGCUCUUGGAUCUGUCUGAGUUGGGGACUAGGAGACAAGAUGCUGGUGCUUCUUACUGUCCCUUGGUUUGCCAGGAGGCUCUUAAUGACCUACAGAUAGAAGAUGUCUCCGGGGCCAUGGUCGACGGCCCUCUCAUUCACAAUGAUUCCAUCUCCUUCCGUUUAGGAGCACCCCUCCUUGCCCAUUGCUGGCCAGGACACACACUGCAAGUGGCAGGGUCCAGGUAUCAGGAGACCCACAGGCCCCCUGUGGGAGUCUUUCAGCACCCUCACGACAAGUGACUCGCCAAUGGAACGUUGCUUACAAAACCCUGAGCUCCAUGCUGUGCUUGCUAUGAGACAGGUGAAGGGGGCCACCACCUCACCCCUGCAGCCCACGUCACCUGGAGUGCUCCCCAAAGUGGAGUCCACACCCUGAGCCCGCUCACCCAGGCGUCACACAGUCCUCCCAGGCUUGCCUUCCCCCACACACUCCUUGUGUGACUGAAAAAGAAAAGUUGAGAAAUCCAGAUGUCCAGCGGAAUGACUUAGCAAAGCAAACUUUGCCUUGGCAUCGCCCAAGUCAAGAAUUCAAAUGCCUACAUCCUCAUCCCCCUCCCAUCACUUCCUUCUCACGCACCAGUGAGCACGCACCUGAUUUUGGGGGUCAUCUCUUGGCUUUUCAUAACUUUACCAAUUGUAUCAGCCCGUUUGGGGUGCUGGGACAAAGUGUCACAGACGGUGGCACUUAGAAACAGCAGAAGUUUAUUGCUCACCGAGGCUUGCCG